rnacentral:lncRNA from 1 species
ACUUUAUGUUUACUCAUGAGAUCUAAACUUCGUGUACAAAAUACUCAUCACCCUGAAUAAGAGAGAGUGCAAGACGGCACAAUCAAGCACACAGACUCAGCACGCUCUUCACAGUCUACUUUCCUUCAGAAGACAGUUUCUGAGGGAAGAACCAUCAACAGCUUUUACUUGUUGCUGGAAGAAAGCGGCAAUCAGUGGAUGAGAAAGGAAAGUCUGAGUACUGUAAUAUAAUUUAUCUUAAAACUCCAUGGAGAAGAGACUGUUAUCAAACUGAGGUUUAUGAAGGAUUACGUCUCUUGCCCAAGGCCAUAUAUGGCCUUCAACCUUUGGAUUUAAAACAGUGGCAGGGUAGAGAUUAAAACCCAAGUCAAAGCCCACACUCUUUGCCACUAUCCUGUACACAUCUUGGGCCGCUGCUAGACACACCGGAACCACCUGUUGGAUAUGCCAGAAACAUCUGCCGGAUACGCUGAAACCACCUGCCAAAUAUGCCAGAAUCAGGUCCCGGACAUGGUGGAAACACCUGCCAGACACGUCCAAAUCACCUGUCAGAUACGCCAAAACCAUGUGCCACACAUGCCGGAACCACCUCGUGGACACAUCUGCUGGAUACUCCAGAAACAGGAAAACCACAGGACGGAACCAGGUGCCAGACAAGCGUGAAGCCCCUUCCAGACUAGCCUGAACCACUUGCUGGACCAGCCUGAAUCACUUUAUGGACAUUCCAGAACCACAUGCCCAGCACGCUAAAACCGAGUGACUG